rnacentral:lncRNA from 1 species
GGGGGGGGGGGGGGGGGGGGGGGGGGGGGGGGGGGGGGGGGGGGGGGGGGGGGGGGGGGGGGGGGGGGGGGGGGGGGGGGGGGGGGGGGGGGGGGGGGGGGGGGGGGGGGGGGGGCCCCCCCCCCCAGUUAACAGCUCGCCCGCGGGUGUGGUGACUUCGCACAGGACCCCACAAAUCCCAGCACACGCUGCCGGGAGCCCUGCGGGGAGCUGCGGUCCCGGCCGUGCCCCCCCCACCCCCGGCCCUGCCCUUAUCCCGGUGACACUCGUGUCCUCCUAUUAACCCUGUGGAGAGGGGACAAAAGCUAAACUAUGAUCCUGCGCUGCUUCCCCCCCAUCCCGCUGCCGGCUGCGUGAGCUUCACAUCCUCCUGCUAAGGCUGAAAGGAACAAGAACAAGAGCUGCUGAUGGUUUUUUUUCUAUUAGCAUUGGGCUCCUGUCUACAAAGAGCUGAUGAUCCCUGAGCUGCUGAGUUGCCAAAGCUCCUUGCCCAGGACCAGGACUGGACACAAUAUUCCAGCUGAGAAUAUUCCAGCUAAAAUUAAAUCUGGAAGGCAUGUGAAGAGAACACCAACAGGAAAGGGAAGAGGUGGUGGAUCCAAGGAAGCUCGGAACAGUGGGAUGGAAAACGUCUCCAGUGGGCAGGCACCUAGGACAGAAGAUCCCAGCCCUGGUUUGCUGCUCUUUUGCUGAAGCAGGUACAUUUUGUGUGGAGAGGGGAAGAGAUGCGAGAUGAAGGAAAUGGGUGACACACAUUCCUGGUGGUUCCUUAUGAUGGAAACAGAAAGGCUUCAGGAAAACCUGAAAAAGGUGUGAGCCUUUGUGGUCUUGGAGCGGUGCAGUCCUCUGGGAUUUUGGGAAUCUCUCUCUGAAGAAUUCCCUGCAGGGCAGAGGAGCCCUCCCUGCCGAGGGACAGUGGCAGUGGCAGUGUGUGCAGGCUGGGCCACACAAGGAGCAGUGCUGAGUGUCCAAGGCCUGGCUGCCCCAGGGAAUGUGCUGAGCUGGGUGUGCUCCAGGCCCACACUCAUCACCCUCUGUUCCCUGCUGCUUCACACUCUGUGACCCGGAUGAAUUUACCAGCGAGCUCAGCAGCCUCUGCAGUUUUCCUGCCUGUGCUUCUAACACUCUUGCCCACCCUAAUCCAACUCUAAUUAUAAAUCAAAUCAUACAACCUGCCUUCUCAAACUCCUGUCUCAUUCAGAGUUUUCUUUUAUCCUUGUUAUUUGAUGUUUGCUUCCAUAUUUUAUUUAUUGCAUAUAAUUCAAGUGCUGCAGUAAAUACAGAAUUACUAAUUGUAAUGGAUUUUUGUUACACUUAUCACUACAGUGUCUGAAUAGUUUUUAACCACCAUAAAUGUGUCUUCACAAUAUUGCAUAUAUUUUCUUUUCAUUUCACU